rnacentral:rRNA from 1 species
AGAGUUUGAUCAUGGCUCAGAUUGAACGCUGGCGGCAUGCCUUACACAUGCAAGUCGAACGGUAACAGGGAGCUUGCUCCGCUGACGAGUGGCGAACGGGUGAGUAAUAUAUCGGAACGUGCCCUGGAGUGGGGGAUAACUAGUCGAAAGAUUAGCUAAUACCGCAUACGAUCUAAGGAUGAAAGUGGGGGGAUCGCAAGACCUCAUGCUCGUGGAGCGGCCGAUAUCUGAUUAGCUAGUUGGUAGGGUAAAAGCCUACCAAGGCAUCGAUCAGUAGCUGGUCUGAGAGGACGACCAGCCACACUGGGACUGAGACACGGCCCAGACUCCUACGGGAGGCAGCAGUGGGGAAUUUUGGACAAUGGGCGCAAGCCUGAUCCAGCAAUGCCGCGUGAGUGAAGAGGGCCUUCGGGUUGUAAAGCUCUUUUGUCAGGGAAGAAACGGAUUGACCUAAUACGUUGAUCUAAUGACGGUACCUGAAGAAUAAGCACCGGCUAACUACGUGCCAGCAGCCGCGGUAAUACGUAGGGUGCAAGCGUUAAUCGGAAUUACUGGGCGUAAAGCGUGCGCAGGCGGUUAUGUAAGACAGAUGUGAAAUGCCCGGGCUUAACCUGGGAACUGCAUUUGUGACUGCAUGGCUAGAGUGUGUCAGAGGGGGGUAGAAUUCCACGUGUAGCAGUGAAAUGCGUAGAUAUGUGGAGGAAUACCGAUGGCGAAGGCAGCCCCCUGGGAUAACACUGACGCUCAUGCACGAAAGCGUGGGGAGCAAACAGGAUUAGAUACCCUAGUAGUCC